rnacentral:rRNA from 1 species
AGAGUUUGAUCCUGGCUCAGGAUGAACGCUAGCUACAGGCUUAACACAUGCAAGUCGAGGGGAAACGAUAUUGGAAGCUUGCUUCCGAUAGGCGUCGACCGGCGCACGGGUGAGUAACGCGUAUCCAACCUGCCCAUCACUUGGGAAUAACCUUGCGAAAGUAAGACUAAUGCCCAAUGACAUUUAUAGAAGGCAUCUGAAAUGAAUUAAAGAUUUAUCGGUGAUGGAUGGGGAUGCGUCUGAUUAGCUUGUUGGCGGGGUAACGGCCCACCAAGGCGACGAUCAGUAGGGGUUCUGAGAGGAAGGUCCCCCACAUUGGAACUGAGACACGGUCCAAACUCCUACGGGAGGCAGCAGUGAGGAAUAUUGGUCAAUGGGCGAGAGCCUGGACCAGCCAAGUAGCGUGCAGGAUGACGGCCCUAUGGGUUGUAAACUGCUUUUAUAGGGGAAUAAAGUGAGCCACGUGUGGUUUUUUGCAUGUACCCUAUGAAUAAGGACCGGCUAAUUCCGUGCCAGCAGCCGCGGUAAUACGGAAGGUCCGGGCGUUAUCCGGAUUUAUUGGGUUUAAAGGGAGCGUAGGCCGGAGAUUAAGCGUGUUGUGAAAUGUAGAUGCUCAACAUCUGCACUGCAGCGCGAACUGGUUUCCUUGAGUACGCAUAAAGUGGGCGGAAUUCGUGGUGUAGCGGUGAAAUGCUUAGAUAUCACGAAGAACUCCGAUUGCGAAGGCAGCUCACUGGGGCGCAACUGACGCUGAAGCUCGAAAGCGCGGGUAUCGAACAGGAUUAGAUACCCUGGUAGUCCACGCCGUAAACGAUGAGCACUAGGUGUCGGGGCCGCAGGGCUUCGGUGCCGCAGUUAACGCAUUAAGUGCUCCGCCUGGGGAGUACGCACGCAAGUGUGAAACUCAAAGGAAUUGACGGGGACCCGCACAAGCAGCGGAGCAUGUGGUUUAAUUCGAAGCAACGCGAAGAACCUUACCAGGACUUGACAUCCCUCUGACGUCCCUUUAACAGGGGAUUUCUUCGGACAGAGGAGACAGGUGGUGCAUGGUUGUCGUCAGCUCGUGUCGUGAGAUGUUGGGUUAAGUCCCGCAACGAGCGCAACCCUUGUUGCUAGUUACUAACAUGUUAAGAUGAGGACUCUAGUGAGACUGCCGGGGAUAACUCGGAGGAAGGUGGGGAUGACGUCAAAUCAUCAUGCCCCUUAUGUUCUGGGCUACACACGUGCUACAAUGGCUGGUACAAAGAGAAGCGAGACCGCGAGGUGGAGCAAAACUCAAAAACCAGUCCCAGUUCGGACUGCAGGCUGAAACUCGCCUGCACGAAGUUGGAGUUGCUAGUAAUCGUGAUCAGAAUGCCACGGUGAAUGCGUUCCCGGGUCUUGUACACACCGCCCGUCACACCAUGUAAGUUGGGGGUGCCCAAAGUCGGUCGAUAAAUAGACUGCCUAAGGCAAAACCAAUGACUGGGGUGAAGUCGUAACAAGGUA